AAGUCGUAACAAGGUUUCCGUAGGUGAACCUGCGGAAGGAUCAUUACAAGUGAGGCUACCGAACGUUGGAAACAGCGGUUAGGAGCUUACACCCACCCGUGUUUACAUACUAUUGUUGCUUUGGCGGGCCGUGGCCUCCACUGCGGGCUCUGCUCGUGUGUGCCCGCCAGAGAACCAAACUCUGAAUGUUAGUGAUGUCUGAGUACUAUCUAAUAGUUAAAACUUUCAACAACGGAUCUCUUGGUUCUGGCAUCGAUGAAGAACGCAGCGAAAUGCGAUAAGUAAUGUGAAUUGCAGAAUUCAGUGAAUCAUCGAAUCUUUGAACGCACAUUGCGCCCUGUGGUAUUCCGCAGGGCAUGCCUGUUCGAGCGUCAUUUAACCACUCACGCCUAGCGUGGUAUUGGGGCACGCGGUCUCGCGGCCCUCAAAAUUAGUGGCGGCGCCGGUGGGCUCUAAGCGUAGUACAUACUCCCGCUAUAGAGUUCCCCCGGUAGCUCGCCAGAACCCCCAAUUUUUUUUUACAGGUUGACCUCGGAUCAGGUAGGGAUACCCGCUGAACUUAAGCAUAUCAAUAAGCGGAGGAAAAGAAACCAACAGGGAUUACCUCAGUAACGGCGAGUGAAGCGGUAACAGCUCAAAUUUGAAAGCUGCCAACAGGCCGCGUUGUAAUUUGUAGAAGCUGCUUUGGGUGUCGGCCCGGUCUAAGUUCCUUGGAACAGGACGUCAUAGAGGGUGAGAAUCCCGUAUGUGAUCGGUGCCGUUGCCCGUGUAAAGCGCUUUCGACGAGUCGAGUUGUUUGGGAAUGCAGCUCAAAAUGGGUGGUAAAUUUCAUCUAAAGCUAAAUAUUGGCCAGAGACCGAUAGCGCACAAGUAGAGUGAUCGAAAGAUGAAAAGCACUUUGGAAAGAGAGUUAAACAGUACGUGAAAUUGUUGAAAGGGAAGCGCUUGCAACCAGACUUGCGGGCGGUCGAUCAUCCGAGGUUCUCCCCGGUGCACUCGAUCGUUCUCAGGCCAGCAUCGGUUUCCGGGGUGGGAUAAAGGCGGUGGAAAUGUGGCUCUUCGGAGUGUUAUAGCCCACCGUGCAAUGCCGCCACUGGGGACCGAGGACCGCGCUUCGGCUAGGAUGCUGGCGUAAUGGUUGUAAGCGACCCGUCUUGAAACACGGACC
rnacentral:rRNA from 1 species